rnacentral:rRNA from 1 species
GACGAACGCUGGCGGCGUGCUUAACACAUGCAAGUCGAACGGAAAGGCCUCUUUCGGGGGGUACUCGAGUGGCGAACGGGUGAGUAACACGUGAGUAACCUGCCCUUGACUUUGGGAUAACUUCAGGAAACUGAGGCUAAUACCGGAUAGGAGCUCCUGCUGCAUGGUGGGGGUUGGAAAGUUUCGGCGGUUGGGGAUGGACUCGCGGCUUAUCAGCUUGUUGGUGGGGUAGUGGCUUACCAAGGCUUUGACGGGUAGCCGGCCUGAGAGGGUGACCGGCCACAUUGGGACUGAGAUACGGCCCAGACUCCUACGGGAGGCAGCAGUGGGGAAUAUUGCACAAUGGGCGGAAGCCUGAUGCAGCAACGCCGCGUGCGGGAUGACGGCCUUCGGGUUGUAAACCGCUUUCGCCUGUGACGAAGCGUGAGUGACGGUAAUGGGUAAAGAAGCACCGGCUAACUACGUG